GACGAACGCUGGCGGCGUGCUUAACACAUGCAAGUCGUACGGUAAGGCCCUUUCGGGGGUACACGAGUGGCGAACGGGUGAGUAACACGUGAGUAACCUGCCCACAACUUUGGGAUAACGCUAGGAAACUGGUGCUAAUACUGGAUAUGUGCUCCUGCUGCAUGGUGGGGGUUGGAAAGCUCCGGCGGUUGUGGAUGGACUCGCGGCCUAUCAGCUUGUUGGUGGGGUAGUGGCAUACCAAGGCGGCGACGGGUAGCCGGCCUGGGAGGGUGACCGGCCACAUUGGGACUGAGAUACGGCCCAGACUCCUACGGGAGGCAGCAGUGGGGAAUAUUGCACAAUGGGCGCAAGCCUGAUGCAGCAACGCCGCGUGCGGGAUGACGGCCUUCGGGUUGUAAACCGCUUUCAGCAGGGACGAAGCUUUUUGUGACGGUACCUGCAGAAGAAGCACCGGCUAACUACGUG
rnacentral:rRNA from 1 species